CCUAAUUCAUUGUAACAGUUUUAAUGUUAUGACAGAUAUGAAGACCAUGAUUAAGCGUGAAUAAUAAUAGUGGUAAGUCAUUCUUCGGGUUUGCAUACCUACUACUUGGUAACUCAUAAUUACUACUUGGUAACUUGCUAUCUAUAACUUACACCAAAGGCUCCCACAAGACUCUCACUAUGCAACUGGUGUAUUUUUUUCUGAGUUCAAGCAGUAAUAACACAUAUCCUUGACAGUUGCUUGCUGAUAUCUGUUGCUUUAGUAGUAUGGUGUUUCUUCCAAAUUUUCUGACCCAGAAAAAUGAAUAUACUUUUUCAAUCUUAGACAACCUUGAGUUUCAAGCCUUCUUGGUGUCCUUUGUGCUUUUCGUUCAUGUUCUGCUACGGACAUACUUAUAUUUCCUAUAUGAUUUCAUAAUAUUCAUAAUUUGUGCAUUACUGUAGAUUUUGAUAACAUAUUCUUCAAUCUUAAUAGUUAAAAGUCAUGUGUCUAUAGAUAACUAUUAUUGAGAUUAAAGUCAAUCUAUUUUCUUUAUGUUUUGUAGGUGGCUUCAUACAAGGAAAACUUAUAUGUAACUAGGAUUUUGUAGAGUAAAUAUGAAACUAUUGACAUGGAUGUAACUCCUAUAAUCUUUUAACACUAGGAAAUGUAGGAUUAGCAAGAUGAAACUUAUAAUUAUUUAUAUUUUGAUCGAAGGAAAACUUUGGCUUGUUGUUAUAGGUAUGGAAGUUUCUUGAAUGGAUAUAUUUUCACCUUUUAAUUUGCUUAUAUAUAUGUAUAUAUACACACCAAUGAAAUGUGGUAUCAAACAAUUAUAUCUAUAUUAUUUUCACCUAUGACAAGGAAAAUUUCAAAUCAUUAAAAAUAUUUGCAAAUCUACUCAUAACACCUUAUUGAUAGUACUUACAAUUCCACUUUGUCACUUUAAAAAUUCUUUUCUUAAUUUAUACUUCAUAUACAUUUAAAGACGACUAAUAUUUUUAGUCAAAAGAAUAAACUUUGUUAUUCUUAACUUUCAAUUUUAAUUUAAUAUGAUAAUCCUAUAAUUGCAUGAGACUUAUCACUUUUUAGACUUUUAACAGCAUCAUUAAUGUGAUAUUUAAUAACAGGAAGUUUACCUGUCACUAUUAACAUUAACAACAGGAUAUUAGUUCCAUAAUUAAUACAUUUUAGAGCAGAGGCAAUAAUGACGGUCUAUGGGGCCUUUUCCCAACAAUAGAACUAUUACAAUAGUUUUUGUACAUUUAAUAAUUUUUCCUGUAAUUAUGGCCCAGUUUUAUUGUAGUGAACCUUAAAACAUUCAAAUCCUAAAACUAAUCCUAAUCCCUAAAAAUUUAGACUUUAGAAGAAAACUAGAAGCAUUGUUGUUCUGUAAACCAAUAAGAACUCAAAAGUAAAGCCUAGAAAUAGGGAAGAGUAGUUUUCGGUUUAAACCGAAAAAC
rnacentral:misc_RNA from 1 species